AUGAAUUGUUCCAGGUUCAAAAAAAAAGAAGGUACACUCCCACUCUCGUCUAGCACCGCGCCGCCGGCGGAAGCGACGGCGGCGGCGGCCGCCCGCGCAUCCAACUCCCCAGCAAAGCGCGACUCCGACGCGUCCGCCGCAUCCUCCCCAUUCGCUUCCACCUCCGCCGCCCGCGGCCGCGAUGACAACGACGACGGCAAAGACGCCCGCCGCUCCUCACCUCUCCUCCCGCACCACCAUCACCACAAGCAGCUCCUUCCGUCCCCCCUUCGCUCCCUCCUCGCCCUCGAGGACCCCAGGCCCCCCACCGCCCCCCUCUCCUACCGGAUCUUGCUCGCCGUCCUCGCGCUCCUCCUGCUCGCGGCCCUCUUCUCCGCGCCCUCCUUCUGGUCCCGCUUCAACACGCCCUACUUGUGCCAGAAGGAGGGGAUCACGCUGCAUUGCCCUCAGACGAAGGAGCCUCUCUCACUGUGGGAGAACCCACCUGCUGCCACCGCGUCCUGGAAGCCCUGCAUAUGUAAUGCUGUUGCAAUUGCUAAGAUAAUGAAAGCAACACUUAUUUUGCCAGUUCUGAAGCAAGACCAAAUAUGGAAUGACCAGACGGAAGUGCUACUUUCUCUUGUUACUUCUUCUACUUGUCUAUUCCCCUGCUGUAAAUUUGAAGAUACCGUUGAUGUGGAUCAUUUUGUAAACUAUCUGAAGGACAGCCGUACUGUAAAGAACAUCCCAAAGUAUUCAUCUGCACAGUAUGACAAUGUUCCGAUGGAGAUUAACCGACUAAGAUGCAGAGUUAAUUAUCACGCCUUAAAGUUCUUACCUGAUAUUGAAGAAAUGGCUGAUAAGCUGGCAACAAAGAUGAGGAACCAAACUGGCAGCGGGAAUCUCUUCUAUUCAAUCUCUUUGGAGGCCCUUCAUCUGAGAUAUGAGAAAGGAAUGGCGGGCCUGUCCUUUUGUGAUUUUGCUGGAACACGUGACGAGAAAGUGAUGAUGGCAGCUGAUACACAGAAAGAAUGGUCACGGCACUUUAAGAAUGGAUCUCACCUGUGGCCAUUAGCACUGCAAAAGAGAAAAGAACGUGUUGCCCCCUUGAGCCUGGUGACCAAGGAGGAGCUGGCGAGCACGACGGAGAUGGAGCACUUCCGGAAGCACGUGACGAGCCUGGCGUCCGUGAUGACGCACGGCGGCAACUUCGCCAAGCUCAUCAUGGGGGCGCGGCUCUACAGCGGGCUCAUGUCCAGGUCCCACGGCGACCCGUACCUGUCCUGGGCCUCCUUCGCCGAGGACGUCGUCAUCUCGCACCAGGCCUGCGCCGGCCUCCCGGAGCCCACCUUCCUGGCUACGACCUCUGGGAGAACUACCUCACCCCCUGCAUGUGCAGAGCAUGAGACAGACCGAGUAGCGGCAGACGUGUGA
rnacentral:rRNA from 1 species